rnacentral:ncRNA from 1 species
UUAAAGGUUUAAUUGGGGGGUAAAGUUUGAUUCUUGCUAAAUCAUUGUUUUUAAUUUUAUUUUAUAUGUUAAUUUUUUUUCUAGAUGAUUUUAUUUUGCAAUAAUUGUAAUUGAAUAUUAAGGUGACUUAGAUUUGGUAAUAUUUUUUUUGUGUCGGCUUAUAUUGUGCCAGCAGCCGCGGUUAUACAUUAGGCACUUAUCAAUGGAUUUCUUUUUGCAGUUCUUGUUGUUUUUAUUUUUGAAUUUUAUUUUUAGGUGAAAUUUUAAUUUUUUUUUUUAUUUUAUAUCUUGUGAAGCUUUUUUUUUAGACUGGGAUUAGAUACCCCAUUAUUGAAAGUUUAAAUUUGUUAUUUUGAGUAGUAUUAGUUAUGUUCUUGAAACUUAAAGAAUUUGGCGGUAUUUUAGUCCUUUUAGAGGAAUCUGUCUUAUAAUCGAUAAUCCGCGUUGAACCUUUCUUUGAUUAUUUUUGUAUACCUCCGUUGUAAGAAAAUUUUUUUAGGAAUUUUAAUUUUCUUUGAAUUUUUUUAAAUUUUAUUUCAGGUCAAGGUGCAGGUUUAUAUUAAAGUUUUGAUGGAUUACAUUGUAUUUUAUUUUUAUUUGGAUUUUUUUUGUAACUUUUAAUUAAAUUGGAUUUGAUUGUAAUAUUUUGAAGUUUGUUAAUUUGAAAAGGCUCUAUAAUAUGUACACAUCGCCCGUCACUCUCGCUUUAUUGUGAGAAAAGUCGUAACAUAGUGGUUGUAUCGGAAGGUGUAGCUGGAUUGAU